rnacentral:lncRNA from 1 species
CAUGGUAUACUGAUCUGUGUUGUUUUCUGUGAUUAAGUGAUGUUUUUCUUCAUGUUGUUUAUCACUGAAGCUAAAGAAUUGAGAUACAACAAUCUUUGACUGACUUUAGGUGUAAGACGUUCGCCCAGCUAUUGUAGACCGCAUGGAAUCGAUUCAAGUCCUUUAAAAAUUUGUGAAUCAAGAUGAGAAUGAACUUAGUGAAUCGGUGGCGAUCGAAGGUGGACAGCAAGAUCGAAGCUCAGCAAGAUUGAAGGUUGUUCGAGGAAGAAGGAGUUCGCCGUUGACUAAAAGGUUUAUCUGAACAGCUAGUUGUCAAGAUGAACGUGAAGAGAAAAAAGAUGAAAUAGAAGACUCGCCCGGCCAAAUUCAAAAUGGCGAUGCCAAAGAAAACCAUGCACGUGGACCGUU